CGUAGGGUGCGAGCGUUAAUCGGAAUUACUGGGCGUAAAGUGUGCGCAGGUGGCCGCGCAUGUCGAGUGUGAAAUCCCCGGGCUUAACUUGGGAAUUGCGCUCGAAACUACGUGGCUCGAGUGUGGCAGAGGAAGGUGGAAUUCCACGUGUAGCGGUGAAAUGCGUAGAGAUGUGGAGGAACACCGAUGGCGAAGGCAGCCUUCUGGGCCAACACUGACGCUCAUGCACGAAAGCGUGGGGAGCAAACAGGAUUAGAUACCCUGGUAGUCCACGCCCUAAACGAUGAUGACUAGUUGUUGGAGGAGUUAAAUCCUUUAGUAACGCAGCUAACGCGUGAAGUCAUCCGCCUGGGGAGUACGGUCGCAAGAUUA
rnacentral:rRNA from 1 species